UACGUAGGGUGCAAGCGUUAAUCGGAAUUACUGGGCGUAAAGCGUGCGCAGGCGGUUCUAUAAGACAGAUGUGAAAUCCCCGGGCUCAACCUGGGAACUGCAUUUGUGACUGUAGAGCUGGAGUACGGCAGAGGGGGGGUAGAAUUCCACGUGUAGCAGUGAAAUGCGUAGAUAUGUGGAGGAACACCGAUGGCGCAAGGCAGCCCC
rnacentral:rRNA from 1 species